rnacentral:rRNA from 1 species
UGGGGAAUCUUCCGCAAUGGGCGCAAGCCUGACGGAGCAACGCCGCGUGAGUGAAGAAGGGUUUCGACUCGUAAAGCUCUGUUGUCGGGGACGAAUGUGGAGAUGGUGAAUAACCAUUUUCAAUGACGGUACCUGACGAGGAAGCCACGGCUAACUACGUGCCAGCAGCCGCGGUAAUACGUAGGUGGCGAGCGUUGUCCGGAAUUAUUGGGCGUAAAGGGAGCGCAGGCGGGAGAUCAAGUCUAUCUUAAAAGUGCGGGGCUCAACCCCGUGAGGGGAUGGAAACUGGUCUUCUUGAGUGCAGGAGAGGAAAGCGGAAUUCCUAGUGUAGCGGUGAAAUGCGUAGAUAUUAGGAGGAACACCAGUGGCGAAGGCGGCUUUCUGGACU